rnacentral:rRNA from 1 species
AUGUCGACUUGGAGGUUGUGCCCUUGAGGCGUGGCUUCCGGAGCUAACGCGUUAAGUCGACCGCCUGGGGAGUACGGCCGCAAGGUUAAAACUCAAAUGAAUUGACGGGGGCCCGCACAAGCGGUGGAGCAUGUGGUUUAAUUCGAUGCAACGCGAAGAACCUUACCUACUCUUGACAUCCAGAGAACUUAGCAGAGAUGCUUUGGUGCCUUCGGGAACUCUGAGACAGGUGCUGCAUGGCUGUCGUCAGCUCGUGUUGUGAAAUGUUGGGUUAAGUCCCGCAACGAGCGCAACCCUUAUCCUUUGUUGCCAGCGAUUCGGUCGGGAACUCAAAGGAGACUGCCAGUGAUAAACUGGAGGAAGGUGGGGAUGACGUCAAGUCAUCAUGGCCCUUACGAGUAGGGCUACACACGUGCUACAAUGGCAUAUACAAAGAGAAGCGACCUCGCGAGAGCAAGCGGACCUCAUAAAGUAUGUCGUAGUCCGGAUUGGAGUCUGCAACUCGACUCCAUGAAGUCGGAAUCGCUAGUAAUCGUGGAUCAGAAUGCCACGGUGAAUACGUUCCCGGGCCUUGUACACACCGCCCGUCACACCAUGGGAGUGGGUUGCAAAAGAAGUAGGUAGCUUAACCUUCGGGAGGGCGCUUACCACUUUGUGAUUCAUGACUGGGGUGAAGUCGUAACAAGGUAACCGUAGGGGAACCUGC